CCUCCCUAUUUGCCUACUCUUCAUCAUCCUUGGCUGCGGCACACAGCCAUGAGGGUCAAGUCGAGGACCAACGUCGGCGGCGCGCAGGCCAACCCCAACCACCGCGGCUACUCCCGCAUUAGGCAUCACAGCAGCGGCUGAGCUCCUGCCGCCGCUGCUGGGCCGGCCACCUCCUCUCCCCGGCCUCCUUCCUCGGGUGCCCUCCACUGCCGGAUCCGCCGAUGGAAGUGGGCAACCGCCACUGAGAGGCAUCUAUGCCUACGGUAUGUAAAAAUCUAUACUUCUUGAUGUGCUUCCCCUUCCCAAUCCAAAUCGGAUUUGCAGUCACUUGAUCGAACUCACCCCAGCACAAAUCGAGUCCUUUGCCCUCCGAUUAAGCCUCUGAUUCACUUUCUAUCUAUUUCCUCUUGAGCAUCGAAUCCAUCUCCCAACUCUGUUCUUCCCUGCCAGAUUGUUUCUGUUCAGGUCCAAUCCAUGCCUUCCCUCUUUUCUGGCUAGAGUUAGAACACAUUUUCUCUUCCCUCCGUUUAUUUACGUGCUUCUUAAUAUGAUCAGAUAGUCCCUUGUCUCUCUCGGUGAAGGUUCUGUUUUUAACAAUAUCCAGAGUUUUCUUUGCUAUAAAAUUUCUUUCUAGAUGGUUCCUAUUUUUGUAGGCUGCAAAGUAAACUGAAGGACCAUUCCAACCAAUGUAGUAUCUCUAAGUAAAAUUGCUCAUCAGGUGUCGUACUUCAGUCCUGUAAAGCUCUAACUUUUACAUCUCUUUGUGCACCUUCAGCAUCUGUAUCUGUACAGCCAUGCCACGGUAGGUUUUUGUUACCCUUAUAUGCUGUUUGUUCUGGUUUUUGUAUAAUCCUCAAAAUCUAUAUGAUUGAAAGAGGGAUGCUUGCAAGCGAACCGGAGGUAGAGGCGAUGCAGCCAUGUUCACCGAAGAAGCCGCCGGGAAGCUACAUUACUCCUACUCCUAAAGGCUUUUCUAGAUGCUAGUAAAGAUCUGACGGAAAGGGAAACACCAACAGAUAGAUUAAUAUGUGCAGACGUGAUGAAGUUUGCCAACUUUGAAUUCGGUUUGUCAUUGUUCCCUGAUCUUGAGGCAAUUUAAGGCUUUGCCAGGUCUGUACCUUUUCCUCCACCUUCAUUGGCAAUGAUCUGAGUACAUCCCACCGUAUUUUUUGUAAAAUUAAUUUUACAUAUAUGCCCAGUUGCUUACCUGCUGACCAAUGUACCUUUUUACUGAUUAGAUCACACACACACACACACACACACACACCCCUAGAAGUCAAGCUUGCUACCUUCUACUGAUGCAAUAGGACACCCGAAUCUUGGUUAUAUUUUAUUGGAAGCGAAGUCCAACAAGGCAAACAGUGGCUUUACAAAGAUGGAGGAGAGUAACUUGCUCCUUCCUGGCCUGAGAAUUGACCAAGUCCUCAGUAAAUAAAUGGUUGGAAAAUUGGAAAUAGAGCUAGAUUACAGUCCAAAUGGUAUGGCAAUUUGGAAAAGCAAAUGUAGCUUUCCCAUGAUUUAGUGAACAAACUUGGCUAUACACUUAUUGUCUCUAACAAGCAGGUUAGUGCUCUUCAUGUGACUUGAGUUACUGUAAAAUGUAAUAUCCUUAUAUUAUCAUAUCAUUUCUCUGUUCUUACCAUAAUAGCUAAAUUCGAAUGGGUUUCUGAUGUGAUCUGGACUUUUUGUUUCUUUACAAAUGCAGGGGGAAGAAGUUAAGUUGCUAUUUCAAAAGGAUCAACAUGAAGGUUUCAAGAAUGUUGGACUCCUUCGCCCUCCUAUACAGCUGAUUCUUUACAGCAUGCAUACUCUUUACUUUGUGCCUUUUCUAGUGUUGUUGACUGCCACUGCCCUUGCAAAUUGUGUCCGUGAGUCCAUAAAAUGCUGAGGCCUGAGAUCAAAGAUCAGUAGAUCGUCUGACACCUACAUGGUUGCAUGGGCUGCGUCAAGGCAGGGGGCCAGGGGACUCGUCAUAGGCAGCGGCGACGGCCUAUGGGAUUGACGAUUGACGAUCGCGACUCGCAAGUUCGCGACGGCCAAUGACGACGCCGAAUGAGGAAGGGACACACUACUUGAUGCGGACGACGCUCGCUGCCAUGAUUCAGUUGCCGUAAUGUACCGGACAACCAACGCUCAACCAAUAGAGCAUGGUGGAUGGAUUAAUAGGUCAUGGACUGUCAAGUUUUGGAGGCCCGGAGCGGUCACCCACCUCGCUCAUGGCCAUCUGAUCAUAUCCCAGACAUGAAAGAGUGUGAAAUCGUAGAAAAAAUUUGUCUUCUGUAUGGCCACUGACUACACGCUUUACUGCUUACUUGCAGCUAUUCAUGUUCCAAGUGUGAAAAUGUUGACAAGUUAUGCAUUC